UGGUUGCAUUAUUGUGAGGGGAAGGGGUGGUGGCUGCUGGUGGGGGUGACAUAUAAGAAAGAAACAUGUCGCAGUGAACUUAUUACAAUUCUCCUCCUAAAUCAAGCUUCCCUCAGGAAGAGACAAUCCGCAUUCGCAGGUACACGUUUGCAUAUUUUUUAAUCACUAUCAAGUUGUUUUUCUACUUCUACAUUUCAUAUAGAUUAUAUGAUGCUCUGUGUUGAAGACCGUACUUUGACCUAUAAU
rnacentral:lncRNA from 1 species